rnacentral:ncRNA from 1 species
AAAUAAAUUAUUUAUGGUUUAAAGAUUUUAUUAAAAAUUUAUUUUACAUAUAAAUUUUAGUAUUUAUUUUUAAUUAUUUUAAUAAUAUUUAAUUUAAUAAUAUAGUAAUUAAUAUUAAAAAUUUAAGAAAUUAAGAUUUAGUAAUAUAUAAAUUAGUAACAAAUUUUGUGCCAGCAGUUGCGGUUAUACAAAAGCUAAAUUAAAUUUUUUUAGUAAUUAAUAAAUAAUAUUUUAAAAUUAUUUAAAUUUAAAAUUAUUAAGUGAAAUUUUAAUUUAAUUAAAAUUAAUUUUUAUUUUAUGUUUUAAUAAAUUUUAAAUUUAAACUAGGAUUAGAUACCCUAUUAUAAUAAAAAUUAAAUUAAUAAUACUAAAUUAUUAUAUAAUUAUUUAUUGAAAUUUAAAUAAUUUGGCGGUAUUUUAGUUCAUUUAGAGGAACCUGUUUAAUAAUUGAUAAUCCACGAAUAAAUUUACUUAAUUUAUAAUUUUGUAUAUCGUUGUUAAAAAAAUAUUUUUUAAUAAUAAAUAAUAUUUAAAAAUUUAAAAUUAAAAUUAAAUCAGAUCAAGAUGCAGAUUAUAAUUAAGAAUAUAAUGGGUUACAAUAAAUUUAUUUAAGUGAAUAUUAAUAUGAAAAAUUAGUUGAAAAUGGAUUUAAAUGUAAUUUUAUUUAAAUUAAUAAAAUGAUUAAAAAUUAAAAUAUGUACAUAUUGCCCGUCGCUUUCAUUUAAAAAUUGAAAUAAGUCGUAACAAAGUAGGGGUACUGGAAAGUGUUCCUAGAAAUA